UUUCAGGUAGGUUGUGCUUUUGGGUACUCUUCAGUGCUUUUCGUCACUAAAGAGAGUUGUUUUAUCUCUUUUCUUUGGGUUUUUCCUUAAGUUGCCUUGGCAUAUGUGUGUAUGUGUGUGUUACAAUUUUUAAAAUUUAUAGUGAUGCAGGUCAAAUUCCAGGAGACAAAUGCUUUAUUAACCCAAAUACUAGUUAUAAUGAAAUGGAAAUGUUGUGAUCCCAUUAAACCUCAAGUCAUUCAGAUCCUGGCCCUGGGAUCACUCAGAUGACAGGAACCCUCAGCUUGUUUACCCAAAUGAGAAGCCAUGAAGAAAAUCUGCCUGCCUAGGCUGCAUAUUCUCCAAGUGAAGGGC
rnacentral:lncRNA from 1 species